rnacentral:rRNA from 1 species
UACAGAGGUCUCAAGCGUUGUUCGGAUUCAUUGGGCGUAAAGGGUGCGUAGGCGGCGCGGUAAGUCGGGUGUGAAAUCUCGGGGCUUAACUCCGAAACUGCAUUCGAUACUGCCGUGCUUGAGGACUGGAGAGGAAACUGGAAUUUACGGUGUAGCAGUGAAAUGCGUAGAGAUCGAUAAGGAAGACCAGUGGCGAAGGCGAGUUUCUGGAC